UGGCCAGGAACCUUCCUCCCAGUAUAUCAGACUCUCCAGGCUCCCAGCCUGUUCUUGAUCCUGCUCCAGCCUCAGCCUUGUCUGUGCCCUGUUACUGACUCACUCCAGCCCUGUUACUGACCCAAUCCAGCCUUGCCUCCACUUCUUGACCCUUCGUGGACCUUUGGACUCUGACUACCCAGCUUCGAACUUCGGCCUGUAUUUGCCCCAGCUACCAUACUGAUUUGGCUUGUCCCUGGAUUCUGACUGCCUGACUUCGACCUCUAGCUUGCACCUUGUCUCCGGCUGUGGCAGGCCUUGGAAAAAGAGACUGUACUUUCUGGAUUCCCUCUCAGGCCCUCAGGAGAGGAACAUUGCUGAAAUUCAGACUUUCCAUGAGCAGCAUUUGGGUGUGUGCAGCUGUCCGCUCAUGAGGCUAGCAAUGGAAUAUCCAGCUAAAUAUGCCACCAGGAAACAAGUUUGAAGUGGAAGGGCUGAAGCAUUGUAAAGAAAGUCAGUUCUUGUGGUAGUUCUAGCCUGACAAAGAGCAAGAAGCAUGCAUCAUAAAUCUCCUGAGAAGACUGCCAGGGAGAGAUUUCCACUCCACUUCUGGAGAAGCAAGACGUUUGGCUCAAGUUCAGCCCUCAGCUUGACUCCCUCAAAAUGUUUUAAAGAGCAUCCAUACCUGAAGCCAGAAGAGCCACGUGUCAAGGGAAUGAAGACUGCUCCAGGUUGCAUUGGAUGUGGGAAACCAGCAGCGUCUACAUGGAGAAUUAGGGAACAUCUGCCCAACAUGGGAUCCCUAGAGAGCCUUUCCAGCAUCUCCUGGGUGAUCCCACAGUCUUCCCCCACCUUGUUCAUGGUGGAUGUUGCUUUUGGGACCUCAUUUGCAGGCAACAUUGUGCUGUGGCCCAGGUUAUCCUUCACGUGAGCACCACUCCUGUUCUCAAUGUUCAGCUUCUCUUGCAUUGAGUGUUGUUAUUUCAUUGGUAAGGUCAUAGGGGAGAGCAGACAGCAUAUGAGCCUCACUGUCUCAUUAGCAACGGGCUCCCACUUGAACCUCACAUCUGCAGAGCUGGCUGCCCAUCUGAAUUUUAUGGCUUGGCCUCUCAUCCAGCGUGACACCAUUUCUCCUGAAUGCUGACUUCUGGUGGUUAGUUGCAAGGAGAGUUUAGUCUGGGAAGCCAACAGGAGCUGCUCAGUCUUCAGUGCUUUUGAAAAAUCAGGCCACUUAUGUAGGCACAUUAAGAUGGACUUGGUAACCUAAGCUUAAAUGCCCAUUUUGGAACAUCUUGGCCAUGCUAUCUUUUUUUUUUUUUUUUUCCCCCAGAGAACAAGCAGCCUCUGAGCUAGGAGGUGGUGUCACGUGGGAUAGAGCCUGCCUUACCAUGGGGGAAAGUGUUAAACCUUAUAGGAAAUAUAUAAAACAUACAUGGCAAAACCAAGUUUACUAUUUAAAUUGCCCUCUUAAAAUGGGGCAACCCCUGCACAGACACACACAAAUAAAAAUGCCCCGCUGCCAAUAUAAAUAUAUCGGGAACCUUUUCUGACCAGGCAAACACCCAGCUUGUUCUUGGUUCUAACACUGGUUACUUUAUAUGGCUAUUGAGUGAUUGGUCAUUCUGUGUUUGUACAGCACCUAGCACAAUUGGGGUCUAUUGAGUGGGGUCCAUGACUGAGGUGCUAGAAUAAUAUAAAUAAUAAUAGUGCACCUUCUGCGUGGGGCUAAUGGCCAGCCAGGUAUUUGCUGCCUUCCCUCUGUGCAGACAGAGCAAACGCUGUCUGCAUAUGAGCCUGGUGAACAAGGUGAAAGAAUAACAGCUGUAAUAAAAAGAAAAGGAGUACUUAUGGCACCUUAGAGACUAACAAAUUUAUGCAUCUGAUGAAGUGAGCUGUAGCUCACGAAAGCUUAUGUUAAAUAAAUUGGUUAGUCUCUAAGGUGCCACAAGAACUCCCUUUCUUUUUGAGAAUACAGACUAACACGGCUGCUACUCUGACAGCUGUCAUAAAUUAGCCAGUUGCACCUCCUUGUGGUACAGAGUGGUGCAUGCGCUAGUGAGCUGAACAACUCUGUCCUUCAAAGACCCACUUCCGACAGUGCAUCAUCUACUCAUUUGUAUAUAAACGCUUGAUUGUUGUUCCCUUUCCCCUAAUCUCUAUCUAUUUGUCUGUCUUUAGACUGUGAGGUUCUUGGGGCAGGGACUGCCCCUUCUUCAGUGUGUGCAAAGCCUCUACUACAUUCAUCUUGGAUGCUGCUA